rnacentral:rRNA from 1 species
AGUGCUAACCCCUACAUAGGUAGGUGAACCUGCGGAAGGAUCAUUACCGAGCGUUGGCGGCGCCUGGCGCCGCCGCCUCCCGUCCCAUGUCUACCGUUACACGCUUCGCUUUGGCGGGGGAACCCGCCAGCGUGCCAUUUAAACCCGCCCUUUGAACGGUGCCGUCCGAGGUGGUUGCAGCGAACGCUUGAAAACUUUUAACAACGGAUCUCUUGGUUCUGGCAACGAUGAAGAACGCAGCGAAAUGCGAUAAGUAAUGCGAAUUGCAGAAUUCCGUGAGUCAUCGAAUCUUUGAACGCACAUUGCGCCCCUCGGCAUUCCGGGGGGCACGCCUGUCCGAGCGCCAUUUCAACCCUCAAGCCCCGCUUGGUGUUGGGCGGGGUCCACGGCGGACCCCCCCGAAAUCGGUAGGCGCCGCCGCCCGGCCCACCGCGUAGCAAGCCAACGCGAGCGCGGGAGGCCCCGCGGCGGCCGCCCUUGGAACCCUCAAGGUUGGCCUCGGAUCAGGCGGGGAUACCCGCUGAACUUAAGCAUAUCAAUAAGCGGAGGAAAAGAAACCAACCGGGAUUGCCCCAGUAACGGCGAGUGAAGCGGCAACAGCUCAAAUUUGAAAUCUGGCUCUCUCGGGCCCGAGUUGUAAUUUGCAGAGGAUGCUUCGGUGAAGGCCCCGGCGGAAGUUCCCUGGAACGGGACGCCUCAGAGGGUGAGAGCCCCGUCCGGCCGCGGCCCCAGCCAUGUGUUGCUCCUUCGACGAGUCGAGUUGUUUGGGAAUGCAGCUCUAAACGGGUGGUAAAUUCCAUCUAAAGCUAAAUACCGGCCAGAGACCGAUAGCGCACAAGUAGAGUGAUCGAAAGAUGAAAAGCACUUUGAAAAGAGAGUCAAACAGCACGUGAAAUUGUUGAAAGGGAAGCGCUCGCGGCCAGACCCGACCGCGGUUGCUCGACCGGCCCUUCGGCCGGCUCACUCUUCCGCGGAUGGGCCAGCAUCGGUCGGGACGGCCGGACAAAGGCCCCGGGAAUGUGGCCCUUCGGGGUGUUAUAGCCCGGGGUGCAAUGCGGCCCGCCCCGACCGA